rnacentral:rRNA from 1 species
AUGUUCUGUUUUCCUGCGGUUGUCGCCACUGUACUUUGUUCCUUGCAUGAACAAAACAGGAUUAAUGAAACAACAUUCGCACUGAAGAAGAAAAAGGAUAUGUUGCCCGCACGUCAGUUCCUUAGGUGGAUCCUCAGUAGAUCGAGCCGCCUCACCCCCUUGCAAGCAAACCUUGACCAUGUUUGCUGGCGCAUGCAGCGAUCACUCUACCUGAGUUCCAUGACUGCAUAUCUUAGUCACAAUAAGCUAAAUGACCAGAGCUAUUUAUAUGAUGCAUCUCUAUCUAUGUAUCCUGCUUUUUCAAAGCAAUGUAAAUGGUUUGAAUUGAUCUUAUCAUGA